rnacentral:rRNA from 1 species
CCUACGGGUGGCAGCAGUGAGGAAUAUUGGUCAAUGGACGAGAGUCUGAACCAGCCAAGUAGCGUGAAGGAUGACUGCCCUAUGGGUUGUAAACUUCUUUUAUAAAGGAAUAAAACGAGGCACGUGUGCCUUUUUGCAUGUACUUUAUGAAUAAGGAUCGGCUAACUCCGUGCCAGCAGCCGCGGUAAUACGGAGGAUCCGAGCGUUAUCCGGAUUUAUUGGGUUUAAAGGGAGCGUAGAUGGGUUGUUAAGUCAGUUGUGAAAGUUUGCGGCUCAACCGUAAAAUUGCAAUUGAUACUGGCAGUCGUGAGUACAGUUGAGGUAGGCGGAAUUCGUGGUGUAGCGGUGAAAUGCUUAGAUAUCACGAAGAACCCCGAUUGCGAAGGCAGCUUACUAAACUGUGACUGACAUUGAUGCUCGAAAGUGUGUGUAUCAAACAGGAUUAGAUACCCUGGUAGUC